GAUGAACGCUGGCGGCGUGCCUAAUACAUGCCAGUCGAGCGAACGGACGAGAAGCUUGCUUCUCUGAUGUUGGCGGCGGACGGGUGAGUAACACGUGGAUAACCUACCUAUAAGACUGGGAUAACUUCGGGAAACCGGAGCUAAUACCGGAUAAUAUUUUGAACCGCAUGGUUCAAAAGUGAAAGACGGUCUUGCUGUCACUUAUAGAUGGAUCCGCGCUGCAUUAGCUAGUUGGUAAGGUAACGGCUUACCAAGGCAACGAUGCAUAGCCGACCUGAGAGGGUGAUCGGCCACACUGGAACUGAGACACGGUCCAGACUCCUACGGGAGGCAGCAGUAGGGAAUCUUCCGCAAUGGGCGAAAGCCUGACGGAGCAACGCCGCGUGAGUGAUGAAGGUCUUCGGAUCGUAAAACUCUGUUAUUAGGGAAGAACAUAUGUGUAAGUAACUGUGCACAUCUUGACGGUACCUAAUCAGAAAGCCACGGCUAACUACGUG
rnacentral:rRNA from 1 species